GUUAUAGGGUCAAGCGAACAAGUGCAUGUGGUGGAUGCCUUGGCGAUCACAGGCGAUGAAGGACGCGGUAGCCUGCGAAAAGCUACGGGGAGCUGGCAAACAAGCUUUGAUCCGUAGAUGUCCGAAUGGGGAAACCCACUCCUUUUGGAGUAUCCAUGGCUGAAUACAUAGGCCAUGCGAAGCGAACGCGGUGAACUGAAACAUCUAAGUAACCGCAGGAAAAGAAAUCAACCGAGAUUCCCAAAGUAGUGGCGAGCGAAAUGGGAUGAGCCUUGCACUCUUUAUUUGUAUUGUUAGCCGAACGCUCUGGAAAGUGCGGCCAUAGCAGGUGAUAGCCCUGUAGGCGAAAACAGUAUGAAAGAACUAGGUGUGCGACAAGUAGGGCGGGACACGUGAAAUCCUGUCUGAAGAUGGGGGGACCAUCCUCCAAGGCUAAAUACUCGUGAUCGACCGAUAGUGAACCAGUACCGUGAGGGAAAGGCGAAAAGAACCCCGGGAGGGGAGUGAAAUAGAUCCUGAAACCGCAUGCAUACAAACAGUCGGAGCCUCGUAAGGGGUGACGGCGUACCUUUUGUAUAAUGGGUCAGCGACUUACGUUCAGUAGCAAGCUUAACCGUAUAGGGCAGGCGUAGCGAAAGCGAGUCCGAAUAGGGCGUUCAGUUGCUGGGCGUAGACCCGAAACCAGGUGAUCUAUCCAUGGCCAGGAUGAAGGUGCGGUAACACGUACUGGAGGUCCGAACCCACUAACGUUGAAAAGUUAGGGGAUGAGCUGUGGAUAGGGGUGAAAGGCUAAACAAACCUGGAAAUAGCUGGUUCUCUCCGAAAACUAUUUAGGUAGUGCCUCGUGUCUCACCUUCGGGGGUAGAGCACUGUCAUGGUUGGGGGGUCUAUUGCAGAUUACCCCGCCAUAGCAAACUCCGAAUACCGAAGAGUGCAAUCACGGGAGACAGACAUCGGGUGCUAACGUCCGGUGUCAAGAGGGAAACAACCCAGACCGCCAGCUAAGGUCCCCAAAUAUAGCUAAGUGGGAAACGAAGUGGGAAGGCUAAAACAGUCAGGAGGUUGGCUUAGAAGCAGCCACCCUUUAAAGAAAGCGUAAUAGCUCACUGAUCGAGUCGUCCUGCGCGGAAGAUGUAACGGGCUAAGCUAUAUACCGAAGCUGCGGAUGCGAGCUUGCUCGCAUGGUAGGAGAGCGUUCCGUAAGCCUGCGAAGGUGCCUUGUAAAGGUGCUGGAGUAUCGAAGUGCGAAUGCUGACAUGAGUAGCGAUAAAGGGGGUGAAAGGCCCCCCUCGCCGUAAGCCCAAGGUUUCCUACGCAACGUUCAUCGGCGUAGGGUGAGUCGGCCCCUAAG
rnacentral:rRNA from 1 species